rnacentral:rRNA from 1 species
UACGUAGGGGGCGAGCGUUGUCCGAAGUUACUGGGCGUAAAGAGCGCGUAGGCGGGCUCUUAAGUGAGGGGUGAAAGGUUCGGGCUCAACCCGGACAGUGCCUUUCAUACUGGGAGCCUUGAGUGCGGGAGAGGCAAGUGGAAUGGUCGGUGUAGCGGUGAAAUGCGUAGAUAUCAGGAGGAACACCGAUGGCGAAGGCAGUGGGCUGGGCCGGCACUGACGCUGAGGAGCGAAAGCGUGGGGAGCGAACAGG